CGGCGCGGAGCGCGCUGCCGGCGGGCGGGACGGACGGAGGGAAGGGAGGGAGGGAGGCGCUGGCUCCCCUGCCUGGUUUCGGUCCGCCGGUUCCGCGGCGCUGCUCGGGCAGCAGAGCCGCCGCCGAAGCAAAUGGGGAGGCGGCACUGAGCGGGCUGCCCUCCGCGGGAGUCGGCAUCCGAGGGCAGCGGCGCGGCGAGCGAGCAAUGCCCCUCACUUCUCUGCUUGCGCUGCCCUUCCUCCUCCCUCUCCCGGUUCUGAAGCUUUUGUUUUCCCCGACCGCUGUGAUGGCAGGAAACUUCCCGGAGGGAUGGGCUCAGGCCGGGCUUGUGCUGCGCCGGGCUCCGCAGGGCUCCGGCCACACCGUGAGUCCCUGCAGAAUGCUUCAGCUUCCUUUCCUUCAUCGUGUUCUCAGCUUGUGGAGUCAUAAACCUGAGUGGAACUUCGGAUGGAAAUACUGACAUGAACUUGAGAACUUUGAUUCUUUCGAACCUUGAAUUUUGAUUGUUAAAUGACCAGUUCAAAAUACUACCUGAACAAGAUGAAAUGCCUUGAAGACCUUUGGUUCUG
rnacentral:lncRNA from 1 species